rnacentral:tRNA from 23 species
CAGAGUGUAGCUAAGAUAGAAAAGCACCUCCCUUACACCGAGAAGACAUCCGUGCAAAUCGGGUCACCCUGA